rnacentral:rRNA from 1 species
AUUGAACGCUGGCGGCAGGCCUAACACAUGCAAGUCGAGCGGAUGGAGGGAGCUUGCUCCUGGAUUCAGCGGCGGACGGGUGAGUAAUGCCUAGGAAUCUGCCUGGUAGUGGGGGAUAACGUCCGGAAACGGGCGCUAAUACCGCAUACGUCCUGAGGGAGAAAGUGGGGGAUCUUCGGACCUCACGCUAUCAGAUGAGCCUAGGUCGGAUUAGCUAGUUGGUGGGGUAAAGGCCUACCAAGGCGACGAUCCGUAACUGGUCUGAGAGGAUGAUCAGUCACAGUGGACCAGAGCCACGCUCGAGCCUCUUCGGGGAGGCGGCGGUGGGGAUUUUUGGACAAGGGGAGAAGGUCUGACCCCCCCUUGCGGGGUGUGUAAAGAAGUUUUUGGGAUUUUAAACCUUUUUAAUUGGGGAGAAAGGACAUAAAUUUAUUCCUUUGCUUUUUUCACGUCACCAAAAAAAAAACCCCCGCCUACCUGCGUC